rnacentral:rRNA from 1 species
UACGAAGGGUGCAAGCGUUACUCGGAAUCACUGGGCGUAAAGCGUGCGUAGGCGGUUUCUUAAGUCUGUCGUGAAAGCCCUGGGCUCAACCUGGGAAUGGCGAUGGAUACUGGGAAGCUAGAGUGUGAUAGAGGAUGGUGGAAUUCCCGGUGUAGUGGUGAAAUGCGUAGAUAUCGGGAGGAACACCAGUGGCGAAGGCGACUACCUGGCCUGUUCUUGACGCUGAGGCGCGAAAGCUAGGGGAGCAAACGGGG